GACGAACGCUGGCGGCGUGCUUAACACAUGCAAGUCGAACGGAAAGGCCCUGCUGUUGUGGGGUGCUCGAGUGGCGAACGGGUGAGUAACACGUGAGUAACCUGCCCUUGACUUUGGGAUAACUUCAGGAAACUGGGGCUAAUACCGGAUAGGAGCCCCUGCUGCAUGGUGGGGGGUGGAAAGUUUCGGCGGUUGGGGAUGGACUCGCGGCUUAUCAGCUUGUUGGUGGGGUAGUGGCUUACCAAGGCUUUGACGGGUAGCCGGCCUGCGGGGGUGACCGGCCACAUUGGGACUGAGAUACGGCCCAGCCUCCUGCGGUAGGCAGCAGUGGGGAAUAUUGCACAAUGGGCGGAAGCCUGAUGCAGCAACGCCGCGUGCGGGAUGACGGCCUUCGGGUUGUAAACCGCUUUCGCCUGUGACGAAGCGUGAGUGACGGUAAUGGGUAAAGAAGCACCGGCUAACUACGUG
rnacentral:rRNA from 1 species